rnacentral:lncRNA from 1 species
AAAUCAAAACCCGGGUUCAAAUGGCCGAAACCCGGUCGAACCGGGGAAAACCCGGGACCCGGCGAACCGGCCACUGACCCCGGUUUUGCUCCAAAACGCGUUAAUUUUUUUUUUCUUUUUCUUUUCCUCAAAACGUCGUCGUUUCAUUGCUAGGUUUAAGAAAAAAAAAAAAGUCUGAAGCAGACGUCUUUUAGUCUUUUCAAUUCCCUGCAAACAAAACCCAUGCACUAGAAUUGAUUGAUUACGCCGCCACCUGCAAUUUGCCAGCCACAAAAUCAAACGAUUGAUUGACGUAAAGGUUAAAGGUAUAUGAUUUCUCUUGCUUUUGACUUUUGUUUGCAAGGAAUUAUGAUUUUUAUUUCAAUACUCGUG